rnacentral:rRNA from 1 species
GAGUUUGAUCCUGGCUCAGGAUGAACGCUAGCGGGAGGCUUAACACAUGCAAGUCGAGGGGCAUCACGAGAUAGCAAUAUUUUGGUGGCGACCGGCGCACGGGUGAGUAACGCGUAUGUAACCUACCCUGUACAGGGGGAUAGCCCGGAGAAAUUCGGAUUAAUACCCCAUAAAGAUAUGAGAAGGCAUCUUUUUAUAUUUAAAGCUUCGGCGGUACGGGAUGGGCAUGCGUAACAUUAGCUAGUUGGUAGGGUAACGGCCUACCAAGGCUGCGAUGUUUAGGGGUCCUGAGAGGGUGAUCCCCCACACUGGUACUGAGACACGGACCAGACUCCUACGGGAGGCAGCAGUGAGGAAUAUUGGUCAAUGGGCGCAAGCCUGAACCAGCCAUCCCGCGUGCAGGAAGACGGCGCUAUGCGUUGUAAACUGCUUUUCCAGGGGGCGAAUAGCUUCUACGAGUAGGGGUAUGACGGUACCCUGGGAAUAAGCAUCGGCUAACUCCGUGCCAGCAGCCGCGGUAAUACGGAGGAUGCAAGCGUUAUCCGGAUUUAUUGGGUUUAAAGGGUGCGUAGGCGGAGUAAUAAGUCAGUGGUGAAAACCUGCAGCUUAACUGUGGAACUGCCAUUGAUACUGUUAUUCUUGAGUAUGGUCAAGGUAGGCGGAAUGUGUAAUGUAGCGGUGAAAUGCUUAGAUAUUACACAGAACACCAAUUGCGAAGGCAGCUUACUGGACCAUUACUGACGCUGAUGCACGAAAGCGUGGGGAGCGAACAGGAUUAGAUACCCUGGUAGUCCACGCCGUAAACGAUGAUCACUCGCUGUUGGCGAUACACAGUCAGCGGCCUAAGCAAAAGCAUUAAGU